rnacentral:rRNA from 1 species
UACGGAGGGUGCAAGCGUUAUCCGGAUUCACUGGGUUUAAAGGGUGCGUAGGUGGGUUGGUAAGUCAGUGGUGAAAUCUCCGUGCUUAACAUGGAAACUGCCAUUGAUACUACUGAUCUUGAAUUUUCCGGAGGUAAGCGGAAUAUGUCAUGUAGCGGUGAAAUGCUUAGAUAUGAACAUAGAACACCAAUUGCGAAGGCAGGCUUACUACAGGGACAUUGACACUGAGGCACGAAAGCGUGGGGAUCAAACAGG